CACUCCUCACUGUAACACUGAUACACCCUACACUCCUCACUGUAACACUCUGAUACACCCUGCACUCCUCACUGUAACACUGAUACACCCUGCACUCCUCACUGUAACACUCUGAUACACCCUGCACUCCUCACUGUAACACUCCGAUACACCUUGCACUCCUCAGGGAUAGAGGCGAUUCUUAAAGGUUUUCAGCAGAGUAGCUGGUCUGAGAUUUACCUACAGAUUUCAGGGUGGGUCACUAACAGUGCAUUCAUGUGGCUCUCCUGGCUGCUCAAUAAACACAAAACACACAUUGUUCUUCCCUCCCGUCGAAGAUAGAACAGUACAGUACAGGUGCAAGCCCUUCAGCCCACAAUUCUCUACCAUAAUAAUCACCAACAGUAGUAAUGCCUCCUUUCUCGGCACAUCCAUGUACUAGAUUGAUCUUGGGGUAGGUUAAACGGUCAGCACAACAUUGCAGGCUGAAUGGCCUGCACUAUGCUCUACAGUUCUAAGUUCUACUUAAGCAGCUCUAUCACAUCUGCCUGCACCACCACCCUGUGUAAAUAACUUGCCCUGUCCAUCUCCUUCGAACUUGCCCCCUCUCUCCUUAGUAUGCCCUCUUUGCAUACCGAGAAUUCAUUAAAAGGGAAGCCAACAUACAAUACUUGGGAGUAGAGGAGUGACAAGGGGCAGGAAUCCUAAUCCAGUUUUUAGUUUUUCCAUGAUCCCCCUGUUGCUAAGCAACAGCAGCUUGUUUUUUCCAUUCAGCUUCUAAUUCAAACCACAUUGACACUGGGAGUUGGCCAAUAUAGCACUGGGGCAGGACGAACAGUCCAGUGACUGGUUUCUACGAUCCUCCAUCAUUGGUGUUCCAUGUCCUGCUCCAAUCUCCCAUUUCUCCCCCCAACACAAAGAUUAACCUUAUUUGUCGCAUACACAUCAAAACAUUCGGUGAAGUGCCUUGUUUAUGUCAACGGCCAACACGACUGAGGAUGUUCCGGGAGCAAGCCAUGUUUCUGGUGUCGACAUAUCAUAACCACUGCUUACUGACCGGUCUGCCUUUCGAAUGUGGGAGGAAUCUGGAGAAAAUCCACAUGGUCACAUGGGGAAUGUGCAAACUCCUUACAGACUUCAAUCCUGGUUACUGGCACUGUAACACACUGCGCUAGCCGCUACAUUACCGCGCCUCGCCUGCUAUGCUACUGCGCCGCCAAGGAAGAUGACAGGUGAGAACGAAUUUCACUGUGUCAAAGCUCAAAGCAAAUUUAUUAUCAAAGUACAAAUACAUCACCAUUUAUAACCCUGAGAUCCGAUUUCUUUUGGGCAUUCACAGUAAGUCCAUUAUAGAAUAAUAACCAUAGUAGAAUCAAUGAUAGACCGCACCAAUUUUGGCAUUCAACUAGGGUGCAAGUACAAAACGAAAGAAAUAAUAUGAAAUAAAUAAGCAAUAAAUAUCGAGAACAUGGGAUGAAGAGUCCUUGAAAGAGAGUCCAUAUGUUGUAGGAACACUUCAAUGAUGGGGCACACAAAGUUGAGUAAACUUAUCCCCUUUGGUCAAGAGCCUGAUGGUUGAGGGGUAGUAACUGUUCCUGGACCUGGGUGGUGUGAGUUCUGAGGCUCCUGCACCUUCUUUCUGAUGGUAGCAGUGAGAAGAGAGCAUGGUCUGGGUACUGGGGUCCCUGAUGAUGGAUGCUGCUUUCCUGCAACAGCACUUCAUGUGGAUGUGCUCAACGGUGGGAGGGUUUUACCCGAGAUGGACUGGGCCAUAUCCACUACUUUUUGUAGGGUUUUCCGUUCAAGGGCACUGGUGUUUCCACACCAGGCUGUGAUGCGGCCAGUCAAUGUACUCGCCACCACACAUCUAUAGAAGUUUGUCGAAGUAUUAGACGUCACGCCGAGUCUUCGCAAACUUCUAAGGAAAUAGAGGCGCUGCUGUGUUGUCCUCAUAAUUGCUUGAACAUACUGGACCUAUUUCAGGCCCUCUGAAAUGAUAGCACAGAGGAAUUUAAAGUUGCUGACCCUCUCCACCUUUGAUUCCCCUGGUGAGGACCGGCUCUUGGGCCUCUGGUUCCCUGCUCCUGUCGUCAGUAAUCAACUCCUUGGUCUUGCUGACAUUGAAUAAGAGGUUGUUACUGCGGCACCACUCAGCCACAUUUUCAAUCCAAUGUUCUGGAUGAACCUUGGGCCGCCAGCCAAAAUAUAACCUAAUCUGGAUAUAUCUUGAAUUAUUUUUCUUCUACAAGUCUCCUACAUCGGGAAGAAGGUACCGGAGCCUAAAGACCCAUUCUCGACUAUUCAGGACAGUUUCUUUCCCCGAUGCCAUCAGAUUCCUGAAUGGGCCACAAACACUACCGUCUAUCCUUUAUUGUUUUUCUACUUGCACUUUACUGUUUUUGCAAUUUAGAGUAAUUUUAUGUUUUUGUGCUCCAUUACUGCUGCAAAACCAAAAAUUUCACAACAUACAUUGUCAUUAUGGUCCGUGUCAUACGAUGUGGGUGGUCAUGGUCUUUCCAUGACUGUUCCUGGUGAACUUUUCUACAGAAGCGCUUUGCCAUUGCCUUCUUCUGGGCAGUGUCUUCACAUGUUGGCUGACCCCAGUCAUUAUCAAUACCCUUGUCUGCCUGGCAUCAGUGGUCGCAUAAGCAGGACUCGUGAUAUGCACCAGCUGCUCAUACGACCACCUCCUAUGGUUUCACAUGACCCUGAUCGAGGGGCUAAGCAGGUCCUACACCUUCCCCAAGGGUGACCUGCAGGCUAGCGGAGGGAAGGCAGGCCUCAUACCUCCUUUGCUGGAGAUGCAUCUCCACCCUGCCUCACCAACAAGACAGCAAUAAUACAACAGAAACGGAUUCCGAAUGCAGCUUGGGAUGUUUUAUAACAGUAGAGGUGACAUAUGUGGAACGCACAGUUAAAAAUAAACCUUCGAGUGCUUUUUUAAAAAAAAUCCCUCAUGUGGUCUCGAUGUCAUUGCCAUUUUUUUGUCCUUCCUACUCCUGCUCAACUGAAAGUAAUCAAGAACAAAAAAAAACAGCUCCAUCAUCGUCACCAGUCUCCGCAGCAUCCAGGUCAUCUUCAAAAAGGCGGCAUCCAACAUUAAAGAUCCCCGUCACACAGGACGUGCUCUCUUCAGAAAGGCAGGACAGGAACCUGAAAAUACUGAGUGUUUUCGAAACGCCUUCUUCCACUCUGUCAUCAGAGUCCCGAACAGCCUUGAACACUGUCUUACUCUUCUUUUCCCCACUACUUGAUUUAAUUUUUUGAACAUAAACUCAGUGGCCACUUUAUUAGGAUGGGGGGAGUGGUUUUCCUCAAGGUUUGAUGUGCUGUGCGUUCAGAGAUGCUCUUCUGCUGUCGUAACUUGUGAUUAUUUGAGUUACUGUCGCCUUCCUGUCAGCUUGAACCCGUCUGACCAUUCUCCUCUGACCUCUCUCAUUAACAAAGCUUUUUUUUGCCCACAGAACUGCCACACACUGGAUGUUUUUUGGGGGGGUUUUUUGCAUCAUUCUCUGUAAACUCUAGACUGUCGUGCGUGAAAAUCCCAGGAGAUCAGCAGUUUCUGAGAUUCUCAAACCACCCCGUCUGGCACCAACAACCAAUCCACGGUUAAAGUCACUUAGAUCACAUCCUGACGUUUGUUCUGCUCCACAACUGAACCUCUUGACCAUGUCUGCGUGCUUUUGUGCAUUCUGCCACCUGAUUGGCUGAUUUGAUAUUUGCAUUAACUAGGUGUACUGGUGUACCUAAUAAUGAGUGUACAUUUCUUACUGCAGCUUAUAGUUUUUUUAUUAUGUAUCGCAAUAUACUGCUGCUGCACAGCAACAAAUUUCACAACAUGUGCGAGUGAUGUUAAACUUGGCUCUGACUCGGAAGUCAGCCAGGUUGCCAGUGUGUGGAGUCACCUAUGGAGGAGGCAAGAGACUUCCUCCUUCGAGGACCUUCUGUGAACUCAUUGGGUUUUAAUGAAACCCUGAUAGUUUCAAGAUUACAUUGGCACGUUUGCCUUCAUGCUUGGACUUCACAAAGGGGAUGUCAGGAGAACACACUCUCAGUCAGUCCUCAUUAAGGGAUCAGCAGAGGAAAGGGUGAGCAGUUUCAGGUUCCUGGGUGACAGCAUCUCAGAGGGUCCAUCCUGGGCCCAACACAAAGGCACACCCAGUGGCUAUACUUCAUUAGAAAUUUGAGGAGAUUCAGUACGUCACCAAAGAUUCUAGCAAAUUUCUACAGACGUACCAUGGAGAGCAUUCUGACUGGUUGCAUCACCACUUGAUAUAGAGAAGCCAAUGUCCAGGACAGGAAAAAGCUGCGGAGAGUUGUACUGUCCUCACCACCACUGAGGGUGUCUGCAAAAGGCAGCAUCCGUCAUUAAGGACCCUUACCAAAUUAGGUUUAGUUUUAGUUGGCAUCACAGGUGGCACAUUGUGGGCUAAAGGGGUUGUUCCUGUGCCAUACUGUUCAAUGUUAAUCACUAUUACUGAAAUCAGCUUGUUUAAAUUCUAGUUCAACACCUUAUAUUCCAUCUGGGGAGCCUCCAACCUGAUGGCAUAAACAUCAAUUUCCCAAAUGUCUGAUAAUUUCCCCACCCCUUUCUCCUUCACCAUUCCCAUUCCCCUCUCUCAACUCAUCUCCUUUCCUGCCCAUCACCUCCCUCUGGUGUUCGUCUCCCUUCCCUUUCUUCCAUGGCCUUCUGUCCUCUCCUAUCAGAUUCCCCCUUCUCCAGCCCUGUAUCUCUUUCAUCAAAUUAACUUUCUAACUCUUUCCUUCACUUACCCCCUCCCAGUUUCACCCAUCAACUACCACCUUGUAUUUCUUCCUCCCUUCCCCCCCCCACCUUCUUACACUGACUUCUCAUCUCUUUUCCCCAGUCCUGAUGAAGGGUCUUGGCCUGAAACAUCAACAGUUUACUCCUUUCCAUAGAUGCUGUCUGGCCUGCUGAGAGUUCCUCCAGCAUUUUAUCUUGGAAUUCAGGGAAGACACACCAGGAGAGGAGGCGGCAUCCCGAGGCACACUUCCUGCUAUUGUUACUGGCAUCAGGAAUGUGUCCAGCUCAGGCAUUCCCCGUGCGAGAAGUGGAGAGAGGAAAACAUACCCACCGGACAGGAACAUGGAGAAUCACCAGUUUUCAAAGAAUUCAUGUAUUCAGUGAAUACCCCCUCUCUCUACAAGGUCCAACAGUAUGGUAGAUUUUCAACAGUCCAAACCAAAAUGAAGAUAAAAGAACAUUCAAGACAAAUCAAGGAAAUGAUAAAGAAGUAUAAAUCAAAGGAAGGGCACAAGACCAUCUCAAAGGCACUGAAUAUGCCCCCGGAACUCAGUGCAAGUCCAUCAUGAAAAAUGUGAAACUACAGCCAUGCUGCCCAGGUCAGGCUACCUCUCCGAGCUUGGUUACCGGAGAAGAAUGGCACUUGGAAGAGAGGCUACUGUGAUGCCAAAAAUCAGUCCGAGUGAGCAGCAGAAGUCAGUGGCUGCAACUAGAGACGACGUUCAUGGCUCCGCAAUCUCUAAAGGCUUGCACAAAAAAGGGUAUUUAUGGAAGAGUGCCAAGGAAGAAGCCUUGGCAAAAAAAAAGAGCAUAUUCUUGCCCAUAAAGACUGCAAAACGUCAGUUAAAAGAUAUUGCAAAGAUGUGGAAGAAGGCCUUGUGCUUGGAUGAGACUAAAGUGGAGCUUUUUGGCCUCAAUGUUAAGCGUUACGUGUGCUGUAAAUCUAACAUUGUGCAGCAGCCAAUUAGCACCAUCCCACUGUCAGAGCAUCCAUGGAGAGGCUUCAAAUGAAUUAAAUUGAUGCCCGUGUGGCCCAUUCAAUCUGAUAGAACAUCUCUGGCAGGACCUCAGGAUUGCUGUCCAGCACCGCUCACCAACUAACCUGGCAGAGCAUGAGCAAUUUGACGAGGAGUGGGCAAAUCCUGCUCCAUCGUGUCGUGCAAAGCCAAUAGAGACUUAUAACAAGAGACUACUGGCUGUAAUAGCUGUGAGAGGUGAUUCAGCUAAGUAUUGAGUAAAGGGAAAUGAAUACUUUUGAAUUGCUAAUAUUCCAGUUUCUGAAUUUUUAGUUUUUCCUGCUUUACAAUUUUCCCUGAUUUUUGGGCUCUACGAUGAAAAAAGCAUGUGAUUCACAAACAAAACUUCCAUUAAAUUGAUCAAAAUCCCUGGUUGUAAUACUCAUUUAUGUGAACAAAGGUUUGGGGGCCGAAUACUUUCACAAGGUUCUUGUGAUGGCUCUAGACCUGCCCGCUGGAGUUUGGAAGAAUGGGAGUGGGGAGGAUAGUGUAUAUUGAAAGGCCUACAGAGAGUAGAUGUGGGGAGUGUGUUUCCUAUAGUGGGAAGUCCAGGACCAGAGGGCAUAGCCUCAGAGAACAAAAGACGAGGAGGAAUUUAGGUAGUCAAUCUGUGGA